rnacentral:tRNA from 1 species
GGGCGAGUGGCGGAAUUGGCAGACGCGCUGGAUUUAGGUUCCAGUGCCGCAAGGCGUGAGGGUUCGAGUCCCUCCUUGCCCACCA